rnacentral:lncRNA from 1 species
AUCUUCAUCUAAGAGUUCCUUUUUAUCUCCACCAAAGUUUCUAAGUUCUUCUUGCAGUUUCUUCAUCACUCUUGGGUUUUUUAUUAGGUUCGUCAUAGCCCAAACUAUUGUCGCUGCAGUGGUUUCUGUACCAGCGACAAGCAUGUCCUGUAAUGAAAAUCACCAGUUAUGUAAUCGUUGAUUGCAAAAAAGUUUCAUUUUUGUAACUAUUUUUGGAACAUUGUAGAAUCAAUACUAUUGUACCCAGUAUGAAACCCUAGUGCAAAAACUAGUUUGUUAGAAAGGUAGUAACAAACCAUAAUUGAUCCAUAAGGAGUUCAAGUUUAAAAAUAAAUUAAAAUUAAAGAAGAGUAAAAAAUUAAGACAAUGUACCAUGAGGACCCCCUUGAUGUGAUUUGAAGUGAGAUUAAUUGAAAGGGACUUCUGUUUCUUGAGUCGAAGCAACACAUCAACUAUAUCCUCUUCCUCUGGUUUCUGUCUAUUGGAAUCCAUGUGUUCAUCAAUGACAUCUUGGUACAACUUAUCCAUCUCCUUGAAAAUUUGUUCCAAACGUGCAUGCAUUCCUGUGAGUUUAUCGAUCCAACCCACGAAAGGAAUAUAAUCUGAUACAAAGAAAGAGGCCAGCAUGGCCUGAAACUCAUGCAUCAAAUCAUGGAACCUACUCCCCUCUGUUCCUUCAUACCUCCUCCCGAAGGCAAUCCUGCACAUUAUAGUGCUUGAGAGAGACAUUUGUAUCGCACUCAAGUUUGUAACAACCGAUGAAGCAGCUUGCUCUGAUAUUUUUUUGAUCAUUUGCUUGACCUCAAACUUUCUUAUGGAGGAAAAGUUUGAGACACGCUUGCUGCUAAAGAUAUGGACAACACAGAGUUUUCUGAUUUCUCUCCAAGAAACAUUGUAUGGGGCGAACACAAUAUCUGACCUGUUAUAGGAAAGUUUCUGCUGGCCAUGUAGGUUAGGUCGAUCAGAAAACACAAUGUCAUUGGUUUUUAGUACUUCCUUGGCAAUUUUAGCUGAAGAAACAACAAUAGCUGGCCUUAAACCCAGUUGAAGCGAAAAUAGUGGACCAUAUAUCUUUGAGAGUUCCCGUAGUUGCAGAAAAAGAACAGAAUUGUUCAGUUGAUGAAGAUUCCCGAUUAUGGGAAGGCCUCUAGGACCAGGUGGACGUGGUGGUUGUUUCUUAAAGGUUAUGUGUUUAUGGAAGAAGAAAUAUAGAAGCAGAGGAAAAAUAAGGCAUAGAACAAGUACAAGUGGUGACACCAUUGUAAUUAACGUCGCCUAUGACCCACUAUGAAGAGGAAGAGAAUUCACGGUUACACAACAGACCUCAGCUUAGAAGAAUAUAUAAGAAAUUGACCGAGACUCCAAUUGACAGCAUAACAAAGAUCACGGCUAGUUAUCAAUAAUAAUAGUUAGGUUAUUAUUAUUUUAAUUAUCAAAUUCCUAUUGAUUCUCCUCUAAUCAUGUGCUUGUCUUUUGCCUACGAAUAAGUCAAUAGACUUUUGACUAAAGAAUGGGCAGAUUUACAAAAUCUGAAUAAUUAAAAUAAUAAAAACCUAAUUAUUAUUAUUGAUACUACUGUUAGUAAGAAGAAUAUUCUUUUUUAUUAUGAAAUUGAAAACUAUAAUAAAGGUGAAAGAUAUAUACAGUAAAUUUUUUCUUACUCCAAUUUGAUCUAACAAUUUAUUUCUCAAAAACAGAGAUAAAGCCGUGUGUCCCUAUGAUCUCUCCACCCCUCUCUCAAAAGGUUUCUUCUUUUCAUAAAAUCAUUAUUUUUUGUUGCGGUUGUGUCCUUUACUUUUUUUAAUUACAAAUUAAAUGAAACUCUUAGGAGUUUCUGAUGAUCUUAACUAAUUUAUUUCUUAUUUAUAUAGGAAUUUUAAAUUCAACCUUUUUUUGUGGUCACUAUUUUCAAUACUAAACUCAAAAUUACAGACAACAAAGUGAAAAUAAUAUGGUACAUUUUUAAUUACAAUUAAAAAAGAAAAAAUUGAAAAUGAAACUCCAAACCAAACAAUAGAAUGAGUAAGCUAACCUUAAUCAUUUUUGCUACAAAUCCAUGUGGCAUUCACACACUUGGCAGAAAGGCAUAGAGGAGUCUUCUUGUGUGUAGUAAUUCCUGGCAACAUUUCAUUAUCGAUGUCUUCCUUCACCAACCCAUGUGGCAGUUCCCAAUCAAAUGAAUAAAUAAGAUUAGCUAGGACAAGUUCCAAUGAUGCAACGGCCAUAGGCAAACCUGGGCAGAUUCUACGACCAGCUCCGAAAGGAAUCAGUUCAAAAUCUAGGCCUAGAAAAUUUAUAGAACUAUCUAAGAAUCUCUCAGGAUAAAACUCUUCUGGGUCUUUCCAAAAUUCUGGAUCUCUCUGAAUUGCCCAACCAUUCACAUACACUAAUGUCUUUGCUGGAAUGUGGUAUCCAUCUACAAUGCAAUUUCUAUUUGAUUGUCUUGGCACAAGGAGUGGGCCUGGUAGGUACAAUCUCAAUGUCUCUUUUAUCACUGCCUUCAAAUAAGGAAAAUUUUGAACAUCAUCUUCAUCUAAGAGUUCUUUUUUACCUCCUCCAAAUUUCCUAACUUCUUCUUGAAAUUUCUUCAUCACUCUUGGGUUUUUUAUUAGGGCAGUCAUAGCCCAAACUAUUGUGGCUGCAGUGGUAUCCGUUGCAGCUACAAGCAUGUUCUGCAAUGAAAAUUAAUAGUUAAGCACUUGUUUACUGUAAACAUUUUUUAGUAACAAAUCAAGUGUAGCACUUAAUAGAAUCAAUACGAUUGUACCCAACAUGAAACUCUAGUGCAAAAAGCCAAAAAUUAGUUUGUUAGAAAGAUAUUAACAACUAAAAUUGAGCCUUCAUCAGUUCUGAAUGGGAUAGGACUGGUUUGUUUGGCAUGCUAGCGACAAAUAGUUGUAUUGCAGCUAACGCCUUUGGCCUUGUCCACUCCUCAAAUCAAGAGUAUUCCUCUUCCUAAAUAAUUGAGUAUUAAUCUACUUCUAAAGCGUAUAAAUCCGUAGGAAGAGCGAGAGGAUUAAUGCUUAAGAGACGUCGUGUAAGAGCAGAUCUUGGAUAGCGGCACAU